rnacentral:tRNA from 1 species
UCUGGUGUCUUAGAAGGUUAAGAAUCUGCCUGCAAUGCAGGAGACCUGGGUUUUAUCCCUGGAUCCAGAA